rnacentral:rRNA from 1 species
AAUGAACGCUGGCGGCGUGCCUAACACAUGCAAGUCGGAUGUGCCGCAAGGUGCAUGGCCGACGGGUGAGUAACGCGUAGGGAAUCUACCUUUUUGUGGGGAAUAACGCUCCGAAAGGAGUGGUAAUACCGCAUGAGACCGUGAGCUGGGAUGUUCACGGUGAAACCUGGGGACCGCAAGGCCUGGGGCAAAAAGAGGAUCCUGCGUCUGAUUAGCUAGUUGGCGGGGUAAUGGCCCACCAAGGCGACGAUCAGUAGCCGGCCUGAGAGGGUGAUCGGUCACACUGGAACUGAGACACGGUCCAGACUCCUACGGGAGGCAGCAGUGGGGAAUUUUGCGCAAUGGACGAAAGUCUGACGCAGCAACGCCGCGUGGGUGAUGAAGGUCUUCGGACUGUAAAACCCUGUCGUCAGGGACGAAGGUGGCAGUGUUAAUAGCGCUGUUACUUGACGGUACCUGGAGAGGAAGCCCCGGCUAACUCUGUG